rnacentral:rRNA from 1 species
UACGUAGGGUCCGAGCGUUGUCCGGAAUUACUGGGCGUAAAGGGCUCGUAGGUGGCCAACUAAGUCGGACGUGAAAUCCCUCAGCUUAACUGGGGAACUGCAUCCGAUACUGGAUGGCUUGAGUUUGGGAGAGGGAUGCGGAGUUCCAGGUGUAGCGGUGAAAUGCGUAGAUAUCUGGAGGAACACCGGUGGCGAAGGCGGCAUCCUGGACCAACACUGACACUGAGGAGCGAAAGCCAGGGGAGCAAACGGG